GACGAACGCUGGCGGCGUGCUUAACACAUGCAAGUCGAACGGAAAGGCCCUGCUUUUGUGGGGUGCUCGAGUGGCGAACGGGUGAGUAACACGUGAGUAACCUGCCCUUGACUUUGGGAUAACUUCAGGAAACUGGGGCUAAUACCGGAUAGGAGCUCCUGCUGCAUGGUGGGGGUUGGAAAGUUUCGGCGGUUGGGGAUGGACUCGCGGCUUAUCAGCUUGUUGGUGGGGUAGUGGCUUACCAAGGCUUUGACGGGUAGCCGGCCUGAGAGGGUGACCGGACCCAUCGGGCCUGAGCUGCGGCACAGACCCCUCUGCGACGCAGCAGAGCGGAAUAUUGCCCACUGGGCUGAAGCCUGAUGUAGCAACGCAGCGUGCGGGAUGACGUCAUUCGGGUCGUAAACUGCUUUCGCCUGUGACGAAGCGUGAGUGACGGUAAUGGGUAAAGAAGCACCGGCUAACUACGUG
rnacentral:rRNA from 1 species